AGUAAGUUAUUUUUCAAAUACUAGUAUAUUUCAGUUAAUGGAUACAGAUAAAUACAUAUUUUAACUGUGCUGUUAAGGUCAAAACAUAUUUGAAUUUCCAAAAAUAAAGUUUGGUGAACUCUUUGUCACAGAGCGAUAAAGAUGUUUUGUUUGACAUAAUAAUGUCAUAUAAGGACACUUUAGACGAUAAAAUAAAUGCAGAAUUAAGAAAACUUGGAUGGCAGGAGAUAUGCGAUUUAUUUAAUUCCCAAACUACUAAAUAAUCCUACCUAAGAGAUAUGCGACGUAUACCUAUGUAUUUAUCAAAAGUAAAGCAAAAUGAAAUCGAAACACUGAAAAAAUAAGCAUUUAUAAAACUGGUGGUGUAAAGGGUGAAUGUACAAUACAAUCUACACUAGGACAAGAUAAAAUCUUGGGUUUUAUAGUUGAUCGUAUGAAGCCUCUUGAAAACGAUAAUAAUUCUGAUGCUGACCUUGGUUAAUAAAACUGCUUAUUUAUUUUAAAAAACAAUAUUAAAAUAUAUUACAUUUUAUCUUUUAAAACUCACUAGAUGUGUUAGAGGAAAUAAUUGGGAAACUACUACCAAAAGUUUUGGUGAUAGUGGCAAUUAUAAAAUAUUUGAAUUAACAAUUAAACAUUUUUAAAUAUUUUGCUAUAUUGUCAUAAGAAAUUAUAUUUUUCAGUUGACGUUAUAAAAUUAGGAAUAGAACAAGUAAAUGUGUCAGGAAUAGUAAUUGUUGAUACAAAAGAACCAUCUAUACCUGUUGAACCUGUUAUACCUGGAUACAUAAAUUCAUAUGAUAAUA